GCAUCGAUGAAGAACGCAGCAAACUGCGAUAAGUAAUGUGAAUUGCAGAAUUUAGUGAAUCAUCGAAUCUUUGAACGCAAAUGGCGCUCUUGGGCAAUCCCAGGAGCACGUCUGUCUGAGCGUCGUUUCUCACAUCCAAUCUCCCCGGAGACUGGGCCAUGAGGCGUCCCUUUGCCUUGCUGCAAACGGUCCCUUGAAGUAGAGCGAUCCCGAGCGUGCGGAUGCCUUUCGUGGCCCGUCCUCUCUCGGUGUGGUAGUAAUAUCUCACCAGAAGGGCGAGCGACGGCCGUGUUGACGCAAGUUCAUCGGAACGACUGGAACGGAAGCGCUCCUAACGGAGAGCUGACCAAUUAAGACCUCAGAUCAGGCGAGACUACCCGCUGAACUUAAGCAUAUCAAUAAGCGGAGGA
rnacentral:rRNA from 1 species